rnacentral:lncRNA from 1 species
UGAAGCUUAGGUUGCAUUCCUUACCAAUUAAAUGUCUAGGAACAGGAACCAGACAUCAAUUUUUUUUUUUUUUUUUUGAGACGAAAUCUCUGUCGCCCAGGCUGGAGUGCAGUGGUGGAAUCAUGGCUCACUGCAACCUCUGCCUCCUAGGUUCAAGCGAUUCUCUUUUCCUUUCUUUAAGUGCCUCUAGAAGAAUGAAUGUUUGGGUCAUAAACCAAUUAAAAAAUUAAAAAAUUGGUUUAUGACCAACAAAAAAGGGAUGCUGAAAUUACUAUCACCAGAUUGAUAUUUGGUUGGUUAGAUGGGGGUUUUGUUCAACUUUCUAAAUAGUCUUGGUAAACUUGAUAAGGAUCAUAUCAUAUGAUACUGAAUGGUAAGGUCAGAUCUGGCAGGAAGUAAAAUGAAGGUCAAAGCUUGUGUCACUAUUCUAUUAAUCAUACACUGCUUUCUUUAACUGGAGUAAAGUAAACGUUGGGUUUUCCUUCUUUAGAGCAUACCAGAAAUUCCUGAUGACAGGAGUGAAAAGAACAGGAUAUUUCUGUCUGACUCACAAAGCAUUUUUGAGAGUACUCCUAGAGGAGACAGAAUUCCAAGUUUAAAAAAAGUUUGAUCUGGUUCAUGGGAAUGUAUUUUAUUUUAUGUAUGUAUGUAUGUAUUUUGAGACAGAGACUCACUCUGUUGCCCUGGCUGGAGUACAGCGGCGUGAUCUUGGCUCACUGCAACCUCUGUCC